rnacentral:rRNA from 1 species
CAAGUCGAACGCGAAAGUUCCCUUCGGGGAGCAAGUAGAGUGGCGCACGGGUGAGUAACACGUAGGUAAUCUACCUUUGGAUGGGGAAUAACAACCGGAAACGGUUGCUAAUACCGCAUAAUGCAGCGGCACCUAAUGGUGACAGUUGUUAAAGCGGGGGAUCGUAAGACCUCGCGUCUGAAGAGGAGCCUGCGGCGGAUUAGCUAGUUGGUAAGGUAACGGCUUACCAAGGCGAUGAUCCGUAACCGGCCUGAGAGGGCGGUCGGUCACACUGACACUGACAUACGGGUCAGACUCCUACGGUAGGCAGCAGUCGGGAAUUUUGGGCAAUGGGCGAAAGCCUGACCCAGCAACGCCGCGUGAAGGAUGAAAUCCCUCGGGAUGUAAACUUCGCAAGAACAGGAAGAAUAAGUAGAAGACAAUACCUUCUAUGAUGACGGUACUGUUUGUAAGCUCCGGCUAACUCCGUGCCAGCAGCCGCGGUAAUACGGGGGGAGCAAGCGUUGUUCGGAUUUACUGGGCGUAAAGGGCGCGUAGGCGGCCACUGCAAGUCGGUUGUGAAAUCUCCGGGCUUAACCCGGAAAGGUCAACCGAUACUGCAGGGCUAGAGUGCGGAAGGGGCAACUGGAAUUCUCGGUGUAGCGGUGAAAUGCGUAGAUAUCGAGAGGAACACCUGCGGCGAAGGCGGGUUGCUGGGCCGACACUGACGCUGAUGCGCGAAAGCUAGGGGAGCGAACGGGAUUAGAUACCCCGGUAGUCCUAGCCUUAAACGAUGAAUGCUUGGUGUCUGGGGUUUUUAUAGUCCCCGGGGUGCCGUCGCUAACGCUUUAAGCAUUCCGCCUGGGGAGUACGGUCGCAAGACUGAAACUCAA